rnacentral:misc_RNA from 1 species
AAAUCUGAGAAGGUUUUGAAACUGGAUUUGAUUUUUUGAAAGUUUUUGGAGUUUUUGAAAACGGAUAUGAAAUGUUAUGCUCUUUAGCGUACAUCUCAAACCAAUUAAAGAAAAGAAUAUGAACUUUGUGUUGGUAUAUAAAGUCAUAAUAUUCUUUUUGAAUUUCUUUUUUUUUAUCAUUGAAAUUUUUGAAAAAUCAUAUUUGCUUUUUAUGAUUUUUAACAGAGUAAAAAUCAU